rnacentral:rRNA from 1 species
ACGGAGGAUCCAAGCGUUAUCCGGAUUCAUUGGGUUUAAAGGGUGCGUAGGCGGAUUAAUAAGUUAGUGGUGAAAGACUGUGGCUCAACCAUAGAACUGCCAUUAAUACUGUUAGUCUUGAGUACAUUUGAAGUGGGCGGAAUACGACAUGUAGCGGUGAAAUGCAUAGAUAUGUCGUAGAACACCGAUUGCGAAGGCAGCUCACUAAACUGUAACUGACGCUGAGGCACGAAAGCGUGGGGAGCGAACAGG